CUUAUGUAAAUGCUGCAGGUGAUAAUUACAAUAAAUAUGCAUCUUACAUGUAUUUAUUUCAACUCAUAUUAAAACUAUGAAAUUGUUUUGAUGUUUAUUAGUGAAUUUAUUCUACAUAGAAUGAUAGUACUGUUGCUUUGGAGAUGUUUUUAUUACUUUCUAUUUGAAAUAACUUGUAUAUUCAUUCUCUGUAAGCGUAUGUUAAAAACACGGGAAAUGUAACCCAUCCGAUGUAAACUGUGCAUUGUGACGUCGAUACCUGCAACGUCUUUAUUUUUUCUCCUUUCAAACGAAGCGAUUAUCAAACAACAAAACUUUCUUACUUUUUAUAUUAUAAGAAAUAACUUAACUAAUUGAGAAAUUAACAGCAAGUGCUGCUUUUCAGAAUACACACUUUUUGAUUUCUCUUAAAUUAACAUCCACAUUACAUACAUGUAGUAGCAUUUUAGAUUUAUGUGCACUAACACAAUAUAGGCCUACAUGUUAUGAAAUUCAUAGCAUUAUAUAUUAUGAUAUUAAUAGGCUUAGUGGUUUGUGAAUUAAAUUUACGUGCUGUAAGACUGAAAAUUAACAGGGGAAGGGGAGGGAUGGGGGGGGGGGGGGGGGGGGGGGGGGGGGGGGUGGUUGGGUUGGGUUACAUGUAUCAUAGAGACUUUGGGCCUUAAUGACUAUUUUUAAAAAAAAGAUAAUUAAAACAUAAGGGAUUUUUUUCAUUUGUAUUGUAUUUUAUUCGUAUAGUUCUAAACAUAUUUUCACUUUACCCUGUGUCUGGUUAUAACUGACAAGUCUUUGUUUCCAUCGUCUGUCAUUAUUACUGAUACAUAAGCGCUUGACAUAUUCCGAAAUUGGAAACAAAAUAGUCUCUUUUUAGAUACUACAUGAAUAAACCACGUGAUGCCUUGCAAUCACUAUACCUUAAGUAGUCCAGUAUUAGCAUCAUAGUUCAGAUACUAUAUAUCUAAUCAUUAUGUAUUGUAGUCUACUGCUAGUUAUGUCAGUUUAAUCCAGAUUUAAAAAAUCAUUAACAACACCAUACCCACUAAUCAAUUCAUGCAUGGAUUUAGAUAACUAGUAUUUAGAGUUGGUCAGUAUUUAAAUGGCCAGAUAUAAUUGAAUUAGAAAUAGUGAUUGGACUUGUUAAAUGAGCUGACUCUGUGGAUAUUUAUAGUGUGAUCUUAUAUCAAGGUGAAAUGGUGUACACAGUGUAUACAUAUAUAUAGAUCAGGUGUAUUUGCCAACUGGAUUGUGUAUAUAUGUGUCAUUUCAACUAGCUGGAUAUUAAAGGCAAAUAUGAAAUUACACUAUUACUGAUCUGAUCUGUCUCGUACUAGUAUUAGUUAAUUAUCAUUGAAUUUCUUUCUCUGCCCAUGCCACUGUAUAUCAUGUAAGAUUGUGUUAUCACAACUAAAUGUAAAUGAUCUUUAUCUGUUAGGUAUUGGGUUCAGCUGUAGUUUAUUCAAUAGGUGUAAUACCCCACCUAAUUAUAUGUGACAAAUGUAUGAAAUGGCAAUAUACAUUACAAGUGUAAGUGAUUUUUAUGUAUAUAUUGUACAAAAAAAAGUGUGAAAUUUCAUGUACAGUACAAUGUCAAUUUCCAUUUUGUACCUUCAGUUUUGAUUAGAACUUUUGAUUACAGAAGCCUAGUGGUUAGGACGAUACUUUUCAUCUGUGAGGUCUAAUGGUUCCAUUCUGGGAUCUGAACUCUGUCAAACCUAAAACUAAUGGUUCCAUUCUGGAAUCUGAACUCUGUCAAACCUAAGACAGUUAACAUAAGAGAACAUCACCAUGGAUGCAAUGGCCUGAUAUAAAAUCUGAGGAGCUGGAGGAUCCAGUGCAAUCAAUGAAGACUGUGACUCAGGAUAUCUCUAGAGAACGUGGAAUAUCAUGGAGGUCACAAGUAUAUCCCCAUAUUGAGAAAAAACAGCAACCAGUUACCUUUAAACUCACUAUGAAUUUUGUAGAGGAAUUGAUAAAGAGUACGGUACAAAGCAUGUGACCAUUGAAGAAAUGUCCCGAGAAGCUCUUAGUGGAGAAUAUGAAAAUUGGAAUUCAGAGGCUGAUGAUGAGCUUUAACAAAGUGAAAAAAGGUCACCCGAAUAUCUGCACGUAAUUGUUGAUUCUUUUAAUAUAGAAAGAACGCUAACCAGCUUUGCUUGUUAUAUGUAAGAAACAGUACUGUUUUCUACAAGAUUAGGUAGUUCGUAUGUAGCAGGGGCCAGGAUUUUAUGCUGCUUUUAUCAAUCAGUUGGACUUUGAGGAAAUGGUCGAAACGAGGACAAAAUACUGCUGGUCUGUGGUGCCAAUAUGGAGAAAAUGUAUGUUCGUCUUUCCCGUUUUCUCUCUCGUCUGUAUGACGUAUUAUUUUUUUUCUAACUAUUUGAUGUCUACGAAUGUUUAUGACUCCAACGGAAGAUUCCGAGGUAUGGUUGCUACUGAUGUCUAUAGAUAUCAACCGUCAGGUACCGCCAAGUUUUCUACAGACCACGUGACUAUUUCAAAAAUUACCAUGCUAUUCAAUAGCAGGGAAAGUACUGAGACGUUCCGAAACUCGCACAUCAUGAUCUGCACCGGGAACGGGCGUUUGGGUAACAAAAUGUUUGAGUUCGCUUCUCUCCUUGGGAUCGCCAAGCGUCACAAUUAUAAACCGAUGAUAUUACGCGGGAAUUCUUUAUUGCAAGUGUUUGACAUUAACCAGGUGACCAACACACAACCAAAGAACAUAAAGGGUGUUGGUGAGCGAGGAGCUGGGGUGUAUGACAAGUCUUUAGAGAGCUUGAAACAUGACAUGAACUAUUCGUUGGGAGGGUUCUACCAGAGUUGGAAAUAUUUCGAUUUUAUUAGAGACGAAGUGAGAAAAUCGUUCAAAUUCAGAGCCAGCCACUUUGACAAAGCUCGGCAAACGCAGAUAUCGCUGAAUGUUGGUGACAAACUGACUGUGGGAGUGCACGUGCGUAGAGGCGACAUGAACAGUAAGAGAGAACUGUCACGUGGCUAUAAUGUUGCCACUAAAGAAUACUUUACCAAGGCCUUUCAAUAUUUCAGGGAUAGAUUCAAACAUCUGAUGUUUUUAGUUGUUAGUGACGAUUUAACAUGGUGUAAAAACAACAUGAAAGGUGACGAUGUGAAAUAUGUAUCCACCGGAAGUGCGGGAAGCGAUAUGGCGUUCCUUGCGCAGUGUAACCAUAGCAUCGUUUCCACCGGAAGUUUUGGGUGGUGGGGUGCCUAUCUUGCUGGUGGGGAAGUUGUCUAUUACCGGAAUUUCCCCUCCAACAACAGCUGGUUGUUAAAACAAUACAACAGGACUGAAUACUACCCCCCGCGGUGGGUCGGCAUGGAGUGAGGUGGAUUUCAUUAACGUCCCCAAUUUUCUUAUUGAUAUGUAUUGAUAUAUUUUUUUCCAUUGUUUUUGAAUUAUUAUAUUGAAUACAAUAUUUAUUUACUUGUGAUUAACCUAUACCAGUUUGUUCACUUUAACCAAUUCCAUACAUUACCACCAAGAAUACAUUCCAGAACCAGUUACCUGUUUACAAAUAACGGUAGUAUAUUUAUGACACCUUUCUUAUUAUAUACUUAUGUAAUUUUUAUCUGUUUCUUGCAUGGAAAUUCUCUCUGAGUCUUCAGUUGUAUUCAUUCUUACACGGCCACCAUCCCUGUUUGGUGAUUGCAACACAGAAUGGUAUACAUGUACUAUUUUUACAGCUUCAAUGUGGAAACUUUAUUUAUUAUUGUAAAUCUUAACCGGCUCAUUUUAUAAGUACAUGUAUGUGCAUUUACAGCGUUUCCCCCAGAUUCAAAACAAGAGGCUUCGCUAGUAAGAUCCCAUCGUGGAAAUCCGAGUGUUAUAUUCGGUAACAUGUUCAAAAUAUGUACAACCAAACUUUCAAUACAGGACUGAACUAUUAAGUAUAUAUUGAACAAGUUGAAUUUCAGUCACGCAAAAGCAAUUUCCUCAGACCUACCCAGUUUCUUCUCUUUUUUAUUAUCACUGAGAUUUGUUUCAGAAUUUCAUUAUGGAAACGUGACAUUGAAGAAUAACCCCUUGAUUUACUAGCAUUUUAAAGCGAAUAUUUUAUUACAUGAGGCAUAUUUUCUGUGGAAAACUCAUUGGUUACAGUUUCUCUUUCAAAUUUGAUUGUGCUGUUUUCCUUCUAUGUUAAGUAUACGUAUGUAAGAUAUUGUAAUGUGCCAUCUGCCAUGUGUUAUUUCCUAAUAACAUUGCUUGUGUUAAAAAUUAUAAUUCCGUUGUGUUUUUCCGUUGGACAACUUUCUUCCAGUGCAUUUUGCAGGUGAUAUUUUCUUGGAAAGCAUUCCAUUUUAACAUACUAUGUUGCUGAUCAUCAAUUUGUAUAAUGAAAAUAUUGGUUUCUUUUAAUAAAUAAAUUUUUAUUGAUUUUAUUUCCACUCA